UGGGCAGACGGGACGUGCUUCGCGUUGCGCGCGCGGUCUAUCCUAACAUAUUUAUAUUUUUAUGAUUCGAUACGCGAAGCGAGAUUUUUAUAUUAAAAAUAUAACGGGGUAGAGUCGGGCGGCGCUGUGACGUGCGUGCGCGCAAGGGUAGCGCUUUCCUCCUCAAAGGAUUGUGUGAUUUGUUACCAUUUACCAUAUUGUUUCAGUAGAAGAGAAAAGAAGAUUCCGAAGAAACAAAAUGAAUUGGAGAAAAGAAGCGAAAGUUCUGCAUAAAAUUGUCUUUUUCCGCUUUGCUGCUGAUAAUUAUAAACAUGUCAACAGCAAAGUGAAAAGGUCUCCUUUAUGAGAACUUGCACCGAAGCAUCGAGGCGCUGGCACCACGAACAAAGAAUCAAAGAAACGCAAAA